UCCAUCACCCCCUCAACCACUUCUCUCCCUCACCCCCUCCUUCUCCUCAAACCCAAGGCGACCAUGGCCACCACGGCGGCGGCGACGACGACGACGACCCCUUCCUCCCCACCAGCUUCAUCAUCGCCUUCUCCGCCUGGACCCUCGAGCCAGCCCCAGUCUUCGCCCGCUUCGCCCUCUCCUUCUCUGGCCACCUCGCCGAGCUCGAGCGCGACCUCCUCGGUGGCGCGGUGGCGCGGCGACGGAGGAGGAGGAGGAGGAGAAGGCGGUGGCGGCGCGGAUCCCUCCGGGCCGCUCGUCUCCGUCGACAACCUCCGAGCCUACCUGCAAAUCAUCGACGUCGCCUCCAUUCUAGGGCUCAAUCACGACAUCGCCGGUCACGCCUUUGAGCUCUUCAAGGACUGCUCCUCCGCCACUUGCUUGAGGAAUCACAGUGUCGAGGCCCUCACUACCAAUUUACGGCAUGUGCAGAGCGAGAUGCUGCAGGAUUCCAAUAUCUCAAAAUUCAAGUCAAGUACAAAGCUCUCAGGUAUUUAGCAUCAGAACACGGAAACUCAUAAUUUGUUAUCAUCUAAAUCUAUAUACAGUAAUGAUGCUCGACAUUAGUCUAACAUAUGUUUUUUUAUUGGUUUACGGACGGAUGCUUAUAUCAGUGUGACAUGUUACCGUCUCUUUCUAUGCGGUCACCACUAGAUUGCAUCACAAACUUCAUUAACUAGGUAGUGACAUCCAAAUUGAUUUCUUAAAGAAUUUCUCUGUUGUUUAUUAGAUCCCCUGGUAUUAAAUCGAAGAAUAGGCUUUUUCUGUUCAGUUUUGACCGUGAGUUUAGAGGAUAGUACUGAAUGACAAUAUAAAAUGGUUUCUUGUUGCGUUGCUAAACUUUUUGAAGGUCCACAAUCCAUCAAGAGGAUAAUGCAAAAUCUAAUUGACGAACAUUGGAUUAAAACUAACAAGCAUGAAGUUCUUCAAUAUUUGUUUUGUUUUUAAGAACAAGCAUCUCAUUUGGGCAUAACUCUCUCUUAUGUUCCAAUUAUUUAGUCCACAAUUGCUGAAACAACUAUAUGUAUUACUGGAAGCCAUUGUUACAUCUGUCUCACUGCGAUUUGAUGGUAUAACUAGAUCAUUGAAAGCUCAAUAUAGGCUUCAGUGUAGGCUUAUUGAGUUUAGUUUUGGCUAUUUUUAGAGUUUCAGGUUCUGGUUUCUGAUGUUGGUGAAAAAUUACUAAGCUUUUCAAAAGAUAAAUAUUAGAUAGGAAGAAUUGAAAUAAUCAUAUUCUCAGAAAAUAGUUGCUUUAGAGUUUCCGAAAAGUAGGUUAACUUGUAUUAGACUGCUUUCUGGGAACACUAAAUUCUAUUGAUUUUUCAGGGUUUUUUUUAGUUCAGGUAUUGCUAAAUGGUCGAAGAACUGCUAAACAAUUUUGAGAGGAAAGAGAUGAAAUUGAAACUACCAGAAUGACAUCGCAAAUUAAAAGAGUUGUUAAAGAAUUAAUUAUCUCACUGUUCGUUGAUUUUAUAUUGGACCAAGUAGCUAAUGACAAUGUAAUCGUAGUGGAUAUAUAAUUCUACUAUUAGCUAAAUUACCUUCACUUUUGCUCAAACUCUUUUCCUGAUAGGAAUUCUAGUGCUACUCUGAAGGGGACUGAUAGUUCAACACUAAAGCUUGCCCAUGAUCAGAGAGCUUCUGUUUCAUCAGAGGCUGCAUUUUCUGCAUCUCAUUUGGGCAUAACCUGCCUUGGCAUAUCAAUUAGUCGAAUUUAUUAUAUGAGCUGAAUUUGAAUAGUUCAUGCGGUUGAUGAAUCUCUUUGGAUUUUCUUCUUUUGGCUGAGAUCUUGAUAGGUUGGAAACGAACCUAUCUUCAUCUUUUACUAAUUAGAAGCUUACUUGGGCCAAGUGAGAGGUUAGUGGAAAAUAAAUUCUUGGUUCUAAGUGAGUUUGCAACCGAUUUGGCUCGAUGCUGAAAUUUGGUUCUUAAUCUAAGUUCAACUCCUUAUGGGCUGAAAAAUUACUCAUUUAUUUUGGAUGAUUAUAGUGUUUUGACUGAAGAGCACCCUUGCGACUUUCCCUCUCAUCCCUCUUUCUGUGUUCCUUGCUGGUUUGGUCCCUGCACAUCUAGCAAACAACAGCAGCAGCAGCAUCAAGUGCUGCCAGCUGCUUCACUGCAGCAGUGAAGCUGGCAGCAGAGUGGUUAUUAGUCAGAGGAGAUGAUAUAUUGUGCAAUUGGUGAAGUUUUGAAGUUCCACCUUCAAAAUUAAAGGCUUGUACUUGUGUGGGGGGAUGUUGAGAGGCUAUUUAUACCUUUCUUGAGCUGAAAAUCGGGAUCCGAGCUUUGGGAGGAUUGGGAGUGAUCUUGACUUCAUUAUCUAGUGAUUUGAAUUUUGUUUGGACUAAUUUGGAGGUAAGAUGAAUAAGAAUUUUAGUUUUCUUCGAGGUCGAAAACUGUUUUUAUGUCGAAGUUGAAUUAUUGACCUCUAUUUCCUAAUUGCAGUGGAAUUUCGUAGUGAAUUAUAGAUUUUUCUUAUAGUAUAGAAGUCAAAGAUCACUCGUGGAUCGCCCCCUAGCCUUGUCUUGCGCUGGAUUUUCUUGUGAAGCAAGAAAUUCGCAGCACCAAGGUGCAGUCCAGCAGUUACUACAGUGCAUCUCAGCGGAGGCCACUGAACUUGAGGGUGAAAUGGAUGCAUUUUGACGUUUCAAGAUAUGAUAAAUUGGAACCUACUCUUGGACUACUUGAUUGUAAGAAGCAAGAGGAGCAAGUUAUUUAGCCGAAUUGUUGUCUAAUUGAGCUUCAAUUGAGGGGAUUCUAGCUGAUUCCUGCCUAAAUUCUAGCUAAUUCGAAGAUGCCCCAAGCCGGAUUGUAAGAGGAAAUUCCUUGAAACGAGUCGAAGCUACGACUCAGUGCAGAGUUUACAUACGCAGGCGGGGUUCGGUAAAAGACUCUUUAAAGGAAGACAAUCUAAGAGAUAAACCUGGUUAUGAACACCUGAAUGAUCCAUUACAUGUGCUUGUCGAGGCCGAGUUCCCUGCAGAUAUAAUCGAUGCGAGAUUGAACCAAGCUGUGGCGAUAUUAGAGGAUUCUGGGGCAACACAAAAGGUUUGUGCUUCUUUCUUGAUCAGUAACGAAAUUCUUCAAUAGCAAGAAUGUAUCAAUGAUAUAACAAAACUGAAUUUCCUGAAAAUGCUCUGCAAGUUCACCACACAAUUCUUUGCGCAUAAAAUGUCACUAGAAACUGAAACUAAGCUGCUAUCUGAAUGUUAACAUGACAUUCGUAAUUUCCGCCUAUUAGCUUGAGAAGGUACCAUGUUCUCCAUACUAUCUCAGUUUUCUGCUCUAAUAAUGCGAAAGGGAGACGCAUAAAUAUUCAAGUACUUGGAAAUCUACUUUUUUUUCUUUCA